rnacentral:rRNA from 1 species
GACGAACGCUGGCGGCGUGCUUAACACAUGCAAGUCGAACGGAAAGGCCCUGCUUUUGUGGGGUGCUCGAGUGGCGAACGGGUGAGUAACACGUGAGUAACCUGCCCUUGACUUUGGGAUAACUUCAGGAAACUGGGGCUAAAACCGGAUAGGAGCUCCUGCUGCAUGGUGGGGGUUGGAAAGUUUCGGCGGUUGGGGAUGGACUCGCGGCUUAUCAGCUUGUUGGUGGGGUAGUGGCUUACCAAGGCUUUGACGGGUAGCCGGCCUGAGAGGGUGACCGGCCACAUUGGGACUGAGAUACGGCCCAGACUCCUACGGGAGGCAGCAGUGGGGAAUAUUGCACAAUGGGCGGAAGACUGAUGCAGCAACGCCGCGUGCGGGAUGACGGCCUUCGGGUUGUAAACCGCUUUCGCCUGUGACGAAGCGUGAGUGACGGUAAUGUGUAAAGAAGCACCGGCUAACUACGUG